GACGAACGCUGGCGGCGUGCUUAACACAUGCAAGUCGAACGGAAAGGCCCUGCUUUUGUGGGGUGCUCGAGUGGCGAACGGGUGAGUAACACGUGAGUAACCUGCCCUUGACUUUGGGAUAACUUCAGGAAACUGGGGCUAAUACCGGAUAGGAGCUCCUGCUGCAUGGUGGGGGUUGGAAAGUUUCGGCGGUUGGGGAUGGACUCGCGGCUUAUCAGCUUGUUGGUGGGGUAGUGGCUUACCAAGGCUUUGACGGGUAGCCGGCCUGAGAGGGUGACCGGCCACAUGGGGACUGAGAUACGGCCCAGACUCCUACGGGAGGCAGCAGUGGGGAAUAUUGCACAAUGGGCGGAAGCCUGAUGCAGCAACGCCGCGUGCGGGAUGACGGCCUUCGGGUUGUAAACCGCUUUCGCCUGGGACGAAGCGUGAGUGACGGUAAUGGGUAAAGAAGCACCGGCUAACUACG
rnacentral:rRNA from 1 species